rnacentral:rRNA from 1 species
UUAAGCGACUAAGCGUACACGGUGGAUGCCCUGGCAGUCAGAGGCGAUGAAGGACGUGCUAAUCUGCGAAAAGCGUCGGUAAGGUGAUAUGAACCGUUAUAGCCGGCGAUGUCCGAAUGGGGAAACCCAGUGCAAUUCGUUGCACUAUCGUUAACUGAAUACAUAGGUUAACGAGGCGAACCGGGGGAACUGAAACAUCUAAGUACCCCGAGGAAAAGAAAUCAACCGAGAUUCCCCCAGUAGCGGCGAGCGAACGGGGAGCAGCCCAGAGUCUGAAUCAGCUUGUGUGUUAGUGGAACGGUCUGGAAAGUCCGACGGUACAGGGUGAUAGUCCCGUACACCAAAAUGCACAGGUUGUGAACUCGAAGAGUAGGGCGGGACACGUGGUAUCCUGUCUGAAUAUGGGGGGACCAUCCUCCAAGGCUAAAUACUCCUGACUGACCGAUAGUGAACCAGUACCGUGAGGGAAAGGCGAAAAGAACCCCGGCGAGGGGAGUGAAAAAGAACCUGAAACCGUGUACGUACAAGCAGUGGGAGCACCUUCGGGUGUGACUGCGUACCUUUUGUAUAAUGGGUCAGCGACUUAUAUUCUGUAGCAAGGUUAACCGUAUAGGGGAGCCGCAGGGAAACCGAGUCUUAACUGGGCGUUAAGUUGCAGGGUAUAGACCCGAAACCCGGUGAUCUAGCCAUGGGCAGGUUGAAGGUUGGGUAACACUAACUGGAGGACCGAACCGACUAAUGUUGAAAAAUUAGCGGAUGACUUGUGGCUGGGGGUGAAAGGCCAAUCAAACCGGGAGAUAGCUGGUUCUCCCCGAAAGCUAUUUAGGUAGCGCCUCGUGAACUCAUCUUCGGGGGUAGAGCACUGUUUCGGCUAGGGGGUCAUCCCGACUUACCAACCCGAUGCAAACUACGAAUACCGAAGAAUGUUAUCACGGGAGACACACGGCGGGUGCUAACGUCCGUCGUGAAGAGGGAAACAACCCAGACCGCCAGCUAAGGUCCCAAAGUCAUGGUUAAGUGGGAAACGAUGUGGGAAGGCACAGACAGCCAGGAUGUUGGCUUAGAAGCAGCCAUCAUUUAAAGAAAGCGUAAUAGCUCACUGGUCGAGUCGGCCUGCGCGGAAGAUGUAACGGGGCUAAACCAUGCACCGAAGCUGCGGCAGCGACACUAUGUGUUGUUGGGUAGGGGAGCGUUCUGUAAGCCUGCGAAGGUGACCUGUGAGGGUUGCUGGAGGUAUCAGAAGUGCGAAUGCUGACAUAAGUAACGAUAAAGCGGGUGAAAAGCCCGCUCGCCGGAAGACCAAGGGUUCCUGUCCAACGUUAAUCGGGGCAGGGUGAGUCGACCCCUAAGGCGAGGCCGAAAGGCGUAGUCGAUGGGAAACAGGUUAAUAUUCCUGUACUUGGUGUUACUGCGAAGGGGGGACGGAGAAGGCUAUGUUAGCCGGGCGACGGUUGUCCCGGUUUAAGCAUGUAGGCUGAUUGUCCAGGCAAAUCCGGAUAAUCAAGGCUGAGGUGUGAUGACGAGGCACUACGGUGCUGAAGUAACAAAUGCCCUGCUUCCAGGAAAAGCCUCUAAGCAUCAGGUAACAUUAAAUCGUACCCCAAACCGACACAGGUGGUCAGGUAGAGAAUACCAAGGCGCUUGAGAGAACUCGGGUGAAGGAACUAGGCAAAAUGGUGCCGUAACUUCGGGAGAAGGCACGCUGGUGUGUAGGUGAAGCCCCUGCGGGUGGAGCUGAGACCAGUCGAAGAUACCAGCUGGCUGCAACUGUUUAUUAAAAACACAGCACUGUGCAAACACGAAAGUGGACGUAUACGGUGUGACGCCUGCCCGGUGCCGGAAGGUUAAUUGAUGGGGUUAUCCGUAAGGAGAAGCUCUUGAUCGAAGCCCCGGUAAACGGCGGCCGUAACUAUAACGGUCCUAAGGUAGCGAAAUUCCUUGUCGGGUAAGUUCCGACCUGCACGAAUGGCGUAAUGAUGGCCAGGCUGUCUCCACCCGAGACUCAGUGAAAUUGAACUCGCUGUGAAGAUGCAGUGUACCCGCGGCAAGACGGAAAGACCCCGUGAACCUUUACUAUAGCUUGACACUGAACAUUGAGCCUUGAUGUGUAGGAUAGGUGGGAGGCUUUGAAGCGUGGACGCCAGUCUGCGUGGAGCCAACCUUGAAAUACCACCCUUUAAUGUUUGAUGUUCUAACGUUGGCCCCUGACCGGGGUUGCGGACAGUGUCUGGUGGGUAGUUUGACUGGGGCGGUCUCCUCCCAAAGCGUAACGGAGGAGCACGAAGGUUAGCUAAUCCUGGUCGGACAUCAGGAGGUUAGUGCAAUGGCAUAAGCUAGCUUGACUGCGAGCGUGACGGCGCGAGCAGGUGCGAAAGCAGGUCAUAGUGAUCCGGUGGUUCUGAAUGGAAGGGCCAUCGCUCAACGGAUAAAAGGUACUCCGGGGAUAACAGGCUGAUACCGCCCAAGAGUUCAUAUCGACGGCGGUGUUUGGCACCUCGAUGUCGGCUCAUCACAUCCUGGGGCUGAAGUAGGUCCCAAGGGUAUGGCUGUUCGCCAUUUAAAGUGGUACGCGAGCUGGGUUUAGAACGUCGUGAGACAGUUCGGUCCCUAUCUGCCGUGGGCGCUGGAGAAUUGAGGGGGGCUGCUCCUAGUACGAGAGGACCGGAGUGGACGCAUCACUGGUGUUCGGGUUGUCAUGCCAAUGGCACUGCCCGGUAGCUAAAUGCGGAAGAGAUAAGUGCUGAAAGCAUCUAAGCACGAAACUUGCCCCGAGAUGAGUUCUCCCUGAGACUUUAAGUCUCCUGAAGGAACGUUGAAGACGACGACGUUGAUAGGCCGGGUGUGUAAGCGCAGCGAUGCGUUGAGCUAACCGGUACUAAUGAACCGUGAGGCUUAACCUU